AAUCUUCUAAAUCCAUAUCGAGUUUUCGUCAGACACCAGAACAUAAAAACUGAUGAGACUCCAAAGAUAGGUGAAGUG
rnacentral:pre_miRNA from 1 species